AAUUUUAAAAUAUUUACAAGGGAUUUUAAAAGGGUUUUACAAUAUUUACAAUGGAUUUUAAAGGGCUUUAAAAGAUUUACAAAGGAUUUGUAAAGAUUUUUAAAGAGUUUAAAAGUAUUUUGAAAGAUUUACAAGGGAUUUUAAAACCUUUUAAAAUUACUUGUAAAUUUUUUAAAACCCUUUUAAAAUCCAUUGUAAAUCUUUUCAAACUCUUUUAAAAUCUUUUGUAAAUCUUUUAAAACCUUUUUAAAAUCUCUUGUAAAUCUUUUAAAACCCUUUUAAAAUUCUUUGUAAAUCUAUUUGCCGCCAAAAAAUAUUUACAAGGAUUUUUAAAAUCAUUUUUUUGGCUGAGGAAAAAUUUGUUACGAAAAAAAUUUUUGCCGGGAAUGUUUUUUUUUGUCGGGAAAAAAGUUUGGCAGAAACUUUUCUUUUUGGCGGGAAAAAAAAAAUUUGGCGCCAAAAAAUUGGCGGGAAAAGUUCAGUUUUCAAUUACAUGUUUCUAUUAGAUGAGGGUAAUUUGGUCAUUUUGUUCAAGAGAAGGGGUAUUUUUAAAAAUGGACAACAUAAAAGGGUAUUGUUGCAAAAGAGUAGUAAAAAAAGUGUAAUUUUAUAAAUCUCCCUUAUUUUAAUAUACAAACAAAUAUUAUUUUUACUU
rnacentral:sRNA from 1 species